GUGCCAGCCGCCGCGGUAAUACGUAGGGGGCAAGCGUUGUCCGGAAUUAUUGGGCGUAAAGCGCGCGCAGGCGGUUUUCUAAGUUAGGUGUGAAAGCCCACGGCUCAACCGUGGAGGGCCACCUAAAACUGGGAGACUUGAGUGCAGGAGAGGAGAGCGGAAUUCCACGUGUAGCGGUGAAAUGCGUAGAGAUGUGGAGGAACACCCGUGGCGAAGGCGGCUCUCUGGCCUGUAACUGACGCUGAGGCGCGAAAGCGUGGGGAGCAAACAGGAUUAGAUACCCGUGUAGUCCA
rnacentral:rRNA from 1 species